rnacentral:rRNA from 1 species
GAUGAACGCUGGCGGCGUGCCUAAUACAUGCAAGUCGAGCGAAUGGAUUGAGAGCUUGCUCUUAUGAAGUUAGCGGCGGACGGGUGAGUAACACGUGGGUAACCUGCCCAUAAGACUGGGAUAACUCCGGGAAACCGGGGCUAAUACCGGAUAACAUUUUGAACCGCAUGGUUCGAAAUUGAAAGGCGGCUUCGGCUGUCACUUAUGGAUGGACCCGCGUCGCAUUAGCUAGUUGGUGAGGUAACGGCUCACCAAGGCAACGAUGCGUAGCCGACCUGAGAGGGGGAUCGGCCACACUGGGACUGAGACACGGCCCAGACUCCUACGGGAGGCAGCAGUAGGGAAUCUUCCGCAAUGGACGAAAGUCUGACGGAGCAACGCCGCGUGAGUGAUGAAGGCUUUCGGGUCGUAAAACUCUGUUGUUAGAGAAGAACAAGUGCUAGUUGAAUAAGCUGGCACCUUGACGGUACCUAACCAGAAAGCCACGGCUAACUACGUGCCAGCCGCCGCUGUAA